AACGAACGCUGGCGGCGUGGAUAAGACAUGCAAGUUGAACGGUUGAUUUAGAGUAGCAAUAUUCUGGGUCAGCAGUGGCGUAAGGGUGCUUAACACGUGGGUAAUCUGCCGCGAAGUGUGGGAUAACUCGCUGAAAGGCGAGCUAAUACCGCAUGUGAUUUUCUUGAGGCAUCUCAGGGAAUUCAAACAUGGGUCGCAAGACCUGUGGUUUCGCGAUGAGCCCGCGGCCUAUCAGCUAGUUGGCGGGGUAAAAGCCCACCAAGGCUAAGACGGGUAGCUGGUCUGAGAGGACGACCAGCCACACUGGAACUGAGACACGGUCCAGACACCUACGGGUGGCAGCAGUCGAGAAUUUUUCACAAUGGGGGAAACCCUGAUGGAGCGACGCCGCGUGGGGGAUGAAGGGCUUCGGUUCGUAAACCCCUGUCAUUGGCGAACAAGUGUUACGUUAUAAUACAGCGUGACUUGAUAGUAGCCGAAGASSAAGGGACGGCUAACUCUGUGCCAGCAGCCGCGGUAAUACAGAGGUCCCGAGCGUUGUUCGGAUUCACUGGGCGUAAAGGGUGCGUAGGUGGUUGGGUAAGUUUGAGGUGAAAGCUCCGAGCUUAACUCGGRAAAUGCCUUGAAGACUAUCUGACUAGAGGAUUGGAGGGGAGAUUKGAAUUCUCGGUGUARCAGUGAAAUGCGUAGAUAUCSAGAGGGACACCAGUGGCGAARGCG
rnacentral:rRNA from 1 species